UUUUAUAUCCUCUCCCGGGAUAAAAUAAUUCAAUAAGCGGAGGAAAAGAAACCAACAGGGAUUGCUCUAGUAACGGCGAGUGAAGCAGCAAUAGCUCAAAUUUGAAAUCUGGCGUCUUCGGCGUCCGAGUUGUAAUUUGUAGAGGAUGCUUCUGGGCAGCCACCGACCUAAGUUCCUUGGAACAGGACGUCAUAGAGGGUGAGAAUCCCGUAUGCGGUCGGAAAGGCACCCUACACGUAGCUCCUUCGACGAGUCGAGUUGUUUGGGAAUGCAGCUCUAAAUGGGAGGUAAAUUUCUUCUAAAGCUAAACAUUGGCCAGAGACCGAUAGCGCACAAGUAGAGUGAUCGAAAGAUGAAAAGCACUUUGGAAAGAGAGUUAAAAAGCACGUGAAAUUGUUGAAAGGGAAGGGAUUGCAACCAGACUUGCUCGCGGUGUUCCGCCGGUCUUCUGACCGGUCUACUCGCCGCGUUGCAGGCCAGCAUCGUCUGGUGCCGCUGGAUAAGACUUGAGGAAUGUAGCUCCCUCGGGAGUGUUAUAGCCUCUUGUGAUGCAGCGAGCGCCGGGCGAGGUCCGCGCUUCGGCUAGGAUGCUGGCGUAAUGGUUGUAAUCCGCCCGUCUUGAAACACGGACCAAGGAGUCUAACAUCUAUGCGAGUGUUCGGGUGUCAAACCCCUACGCGUAAUGAAAGUGAACGGAGGUGAGAACCGCAAGGUGCAUCAUCGACCGAUCCUGAUGUCUUCGGAUGGAUUUGAGUAUGAGCAUAGCUGUUGGGACCCGAAAGAUGGUGAACUAUGCCUGAAUAGGGUGAAGCCAGAGGAAACUCUGGUGGAGGCUCGCAGCGGUUCUGACGUGCGAAAUCGGAUUUGGUUCUAA
rnacentral:rRNA from 1 species